CCUACGGGUGGCAGCAGUGAGGAAUAUUGGUCAAUGGGCUUACGCCUGAACCAGCCAAGUCGCGUGAGGGAAGACUGCCCUAUGGGUUGUAAACCUCUUUUGUCAGGGAGCAACGCCGGCUACGUGUAGCCGGACUGAGAGUACCUGCAGAAAAAGCAUCGGCUAACUCCGUGCCAGCAGCCGCGGUAAUACGGAGGAUGCGAGCGUUAUCCGGAUUUAUUGGGUUUAAAGGGUGCGUAGGCGGAAUGCCAAGUCAGCGGUAAAAUCGCGGGGCUCAACCUCGCUCCGCCGUUGAAACUGGCGGUCUUGAGUGGGCGAGAAGUAUGCGGAAUGCGGGGUGUAGCGGUGAAAUGCAUAGAUAUCACGCAGAACUCCGAUUGCGAAGGCAGCAUACCGGGGCCCAACUGACGCUGAAGCACGAAAGCGUGGGUAUCGAACAGGAUUAGAUACCCUUGUAGUC
rnacentral:rRNA from 1 species